AUCGUCCUUGUCUUAGGGGAGCAGAGUAUUCAAUGAUCGUUUCGUGAGGGUACUGUUGCUGAAACCCAUUAUAAAACAAUUUAUCGCAUCCGUACAUUAAUUUGUUACGCGGUGCAAUUUUUGGGAGC